GCUCCUACGGGAGGCAGCAGUGGGGAAUAUUGGGCAAUGGGCGAAAGCCUGACCCAGCAACGCCGCGUGAAGGAAGAAGGCUUUCGGGUUGUAAACUUCUUUUGACAGGGAAGAGCAGAAGACGGUACCUGUCGAAUAAGCCACGGCUAACUACGUGCCAGCAGCCGCGGUAAUACGUAGGUGGCAAGCGUUGUCCGGCUUUACUGGGAGUAAAGGGCGGGUAGCCGGGCUGACAAGUCAGAUGUGAAAUCCGGGGGC
rnacentral:rRNA from 1 species